rnacentral:rRNA from 1 species
CCUACGGGUGGCAGCAGUGGGGGAUAUUGCACAAUGGGGGGAACCCUGAUGCAGCGACGCCGCGUGAGCGAAGAAGUACCUAGGUGUGUAAAGCUCUAUUAGCAGGGAAGAAAAUGACGGUACCUGACUAAGAAGCCCCGGCUCAAUCCGUGCCAGCAGCCGCGGUAAUACGUAUGGGGCAAGCGUUAUCCGGAUUUACUGGGUGUAAAGAGAGCGCAGGCGGCUUGACAAGUCUGUGGUGAAAACCCGGGGCCCAACCCCGGGCCUGCAUUGGAAACUGGCGGGCGGGAGUGUCGGAGGGGCAGGCGGAAUGCCUAGUGGAGCGGUGAAAUGCGUAGAUAUUAGGAGGAACACCGGUGGCGAAGGCGGCCUGCUGGACGAUGACUGACGCUGAGGCUCGAAAGCGUGGGGAGCAAACAGGAUUAGAUACCCCUGUAGUC